GUCCCUUUUGUCCAGAGGCUAGGACAUCGUCUUUUCAUGUCAAAGACACGGGUUCGAUUCCUGUAAGGGAUA
rfam:Triticum aestivum genome assembly, contig: Triticum_aestivum_CS42_TGACv1_scaffold_061238_1DL